rnacentral:rRNA from 1 species
ACUCCUACGGGAGGCAGCAGUGGGGAAUAUUGCACAAUGGGCGCAAGCCUGAUGCAGCAACGCCGUGUGAGUGAAGAAGGUUUUCGGAUCGUAAAACUCUGUCCUAAGGGAAGAAAAAAUGACGGUACCUUAGGAGGAAGCCCCGGCUAACUACGUGCCAGCAGCCGCGGUAAUACGUAGGGGGCAAGCGUUAUCCGGAAUCACUGGGCGUAAAGGGUGCGUAGGCGGCUUGACAAGCCAGGGGUGAAAGGCAUUGGCUCAACCAAUGUAAGCCUUUGGAACUGUUAAGCUUGAGUGCAGGAGAGGUAAGUGGAAUUCCUAGUGUAGAGGUGAAAUUCGUAGAUAUUAGGAGGAACACCAGUGGCGAAGGCGACUUACUGGACUGUAACUGACGCUGAUGCACGAAAGCUGGGUAGCGAACAGGAUUAGAUACCCUGGUAGCACAGAG